rnacentral:lncRNA from 1 species
GCGGCACGUGGGCCCGAGGGGGGGCGGCCCGGCCCCUCCCCCACCCGGGAGCAGCGUGUCCCAUUGUCACACAGCAUUCCAAGUCCGAACGCCCCGCGGCUGAGCGCCGGCUCUUCUCAUUGGUGCCGCGAGCGCAGAUGGAGCGGCGCGGCAGCCAAUAGGCGGCUGGUCUCUAAGGGGCCAGCGUGGUCCCGCCUUUCGCAGCGCUUGCAGUAACAAUAUGGCAGCGGCGGCUGCUAUUGGCGGCGGCGCGUUCUAAGCAGCAGCCUCGGCGGUGGCUGCGGCUGCACCGCUGGAAGCGCUCCAUCCUCUGCGCGCCCCGCUCUGCGGCGGCUCCGGCCUCCAUCGCCUGCUCUGGGGCCGGCCAGGGGGCCUUUUUGGAAGAAGGGGCAACUUCCAGUGAGUGACUCAGUACCUGGUGUUCAGAUCUCUUUGCUGUGGCUCUGCGACAUUAAUUGCACAGUAACCGGGAAGGCGGAAGCAUUCCUCACACGCCACCUGAUUGCUACUUAG